CACAUUAUGUCUCCAGCAGGCUCCCAGGGAAGUCUGACAGCACUUUGUUCCUGGUUUCCCUACUCAUGCUCAUGAUUUUCAUACCAAGUUAAGAAGAACCAAUUACAAACUGCAAUUUGUCACCACAAACUUCACAAGAUCAUUUACAAAAAGAAGGUUGUAGGAAGCCUUGAAUUUUGAAUUUGAAGCCUAGAACCUCUGAAAUGUUAGGUUUGGACUUUAUAGGGAAGGAAAGAAAACAUUUGACAGAAGCUGUAAGACUAGAGGUGAACUCAGAAGCAGUUGAAGAUGUCCAUGCUCAGAGAUUUAAUCCUGGAUACGUAGCUUGUCUGAUAAUCUUCAACACUGAUAUUCUCAUAUCAACUCUCAUUUGGCAACUUAAAUUUUAAGCAGUCUUGAAACCUCCAUAAUGACAGAUGCAAGACAGAGAACUUUUUUGGAGUCCACAAACAGCAUGCUUACACAGCAAAAGUUUUAGAAGAUAGAACAUUCUAUGUUCAAAAUAUCUUAGAAGAUAGAAGAUCCUAAGAGAAUGAGUACUAUUAAAC
rnacentral:lncRNA from 1 species